GGGAUGGUGGCUCAGUGGUAGAGUGCUUGCCUUGCAUGCAUGAGGUCCUGGGUUCGAUUCCUCAGUACCA
rnacentral:tRNA from 1 species